rnacentral:sRNA from 1 species
CACGGUCACGCUCCGGGGCACAUCCCCCUGG